GAUCAUGGCUCAGGAUGAACGCUAGCGGCAGGCUUAACACAUGUUCAAGUCGAGGGGCAGCGGGGUGUAGCAAUACACUGCCGGCGGCCGGCGCACGGGUGCGUAACGCGUAUGCAACCUACCCAUAACAGGGGCAUAACACUGAGAAAUUGGUACUAAUUCCCCAUAACAUUCGAAGAGGCAUCUCUUUGGGUUGAAAACUCCGGUGGUUAUGGAUGGGCAUGCGUUGUAUUAG
rnacentral:rRNA from 1 species